rnacentral:rRNA from 1 species
AUACGGGGGGAGCGAGCGUUGUUCGGAUUUAUUGGGCGUAAAGGGCGUACAGGCGGUAAUGUAAGUCAGAUGUGAAAUGCUUCGGCUCAACCGAGGACCUGCAUUUGAUACUGCAUUACUUGAGUACAGGAGAGGAGAGCGGAAUUCUAGGUGUAGCGGUGGAAUGUGUAGAUAUCUGGAAGAACACCAGUGGCGAAGGCGGCUCUCUGGCCUGAUACUGACGCUGACGCGCGAAAGCUAGGGGAGCAAACAGGAUUAGAAACCCCGGUAGUCC